AGAGGAGGACAGGUCGGGGGAGAGGAGGACAGGUCGGGAGAGAGGAGGACAGGUCGGGGGAGAGGAGGACAGGUCGGGGGAGAGGACAGGUCGGGGGAGAGGACAGGUCGGGGGGAGAGGACAGGUCGGGGGAGAGGACAGGUCGGGGGAGAGGACAGGUCGGGGGAGAGGACAGGUCGGGGGAGAGGACAGGUCGGGGGGGGAGGCUCUUCAGGAGGUUUAGUGAAUGUAGGCUCUGUAGACAGCUGACAUGUCGUUGUCUGACUGGUCCAGCGCUUUAGCCCUCUUGUAGACCUACAGACAGAGAGAAAACCAUGGUAAAUAUGUAUAAAGAAGUAACGUUGUCGUAAAGUGAGACAAAACAUACAACUUUAUUGUUCACGGAAACAGAAUUUGGUCCAAAGAAUGUGAGAGGUGUUCCAGAAGAAACCAUCUCACUGGAUGAGAAAACAGAUGGUCUUGUAGCAGGUCUGAUUCUGCUCUGGGAAAUAUGAGGUUUUCAUCAGUGUCUGAGUCCCAGGGGCUUCGUGUC